UUAUCCCAUCACUGUUCCAAAAAAUCCAUCCCUAAAUACAAGGGCAGAUGCCUACAAAAAACACUUGAAAACCAAAGAAACCAUUGUUCCACAAAAUGACCUUGAGAGAUACUUGAGUGACCCUCCAGAAAAUGAUGAUCCAAGCUUUGACAUUCUUACUUGGUGGAAGAAAAACUGUGUUCGUUACCCUAUUUUGGCAACAAUGGUUAGAGAUGUGUUGGCCACACCAGUAUCAUCAGUUGCUUCGGAGAGCGCAUUUAGCACCGGAGGAAGGAUUUUAGACACAUAUAGGAGCUCAUUGAGUCCGGAAAUGGCGGAAGCUUUGAUUUGUACUCAGAAUUGGCUGAAACCAUCUUUCGUCGACUUCAAAGAUCUAAAUUUGAGUGAAGAGUAUGAGCUGUUGGAAAAUGUUGUGGCAGGAGUGACUUUUUUUGGGAUAUUUUGAAGUCAAAUGUGACUUGUACUACACAGCACAUGCCUACGGUUUUUGAUAAUGAAGUCGAUGUGGAACCUGGUAGUUUUGCUUGGCUCCAUGGUGUUGGCUUUGCUUGUUAAACUGGUUUACGCUUACAUAUUGGAUUAAUAUGUGAAUUGAAGCUAUCACCUAAUGGUGUGCAUUAGAGACACAUGAUGUGCAUCAAAGCACAUUGAUUGGCCACGUAGAAGAGGUGCAUCAGCUAUCAUCCAAUGCUUGUUUACAUUAUCAUUGAACUCCAUUCUGAUUGUGCAAAAAGCAGACCUUACUGCAGAGUUACACCAUGUUGAGCAUCAGCAUACUGCAGUUUUCAUAUUCAACAUUGAAGAUGACUAAUUAUUUUAAUCUUACAUUUGGAUGAUUGUACUAUAAUACACUUAAUACUUGUGACUUAGUUUAAAUACAUGUUGGUUGUGCUGUGCUAGUUUGUAAUGUGCUUUGAAUUGAUGCAAGCAUAUUACAAUAGUAUUAAUGGCCUCGACCCCAAA